ACAUAGGGAUGGGAGCCGUGGC
rnacentral:miRNA from 15 species